rnacentral:piRNA from 1 species
UGCCCUUGUUGUGAGAGGAUUGGUGAAA